UGCCAGCAGCCGCGGUAACACGUAGGCACCAAGCGUUGUCCGGAUUUAUUGGGCGUAAAGCGCGUGUAGGCGGUUCGUUAAGUCUGAUGUGAAAGCCCGGGGCUCAACCCCGGAAGUGCAUUGGAAACUGGCGAACUUGAGUACGGGAGAGGAAAGUGGAAUUCCGAGUGUAGGGGUGAAAUCCGUAGAUAUUCGGAGGAACACCAGUGGCGAAGGCGGCUUUCUGGACCGAUACUGACGCUGAGACGCGAAAGCGUGGGGAGCAAACAGGAUUAGAUA
rnacentral:rRNA from 1 species